AUACGGAGGGGGUUAGCGUUGUUCGGAAUUACUGGGCGUAAAGAGAGUGUAGGUUGUUUAUUAAGUCGGAUGUGAAAUCCCGGGGCUCAACCUCGGAACUGCAUUCGAUACUGGUAGACUAGAGUUCGGGAGGGGUAAGCGGAAUUCCGUGUGUAGCAGUGAAAUGCGUAGAUAUACGGAGGAACACCUGAGGCGAAGGCGGCUUACUGGACCGAUACUGACACUGAGACUCGAAAGCGUGGGUAGCAAACAGGAUUAGAAACCCGGGUAGUCC
rnacentral:rRNA from 1 species